AGUGAACGCUGGCGGUAGGCCUAACACAUGCAAGUCGAACGGCAGCACAGUAAGAGCUUGCUCUUACGGGUGGCGAGUGGCGGACGAGUGAGGAAUACAUCGGAAUCUACUUUUUCGUGGGGGAUAACGUAGGGAAACUUACGCUAAUACCGCAUACGACCUACGGGUGAAAGCAGGGGAUCUUCGGACCUUGCGCGAUUGAAUGAGCCGAUGUCGGAUUAGCUAGUUGGCGGGGUAAAGGCCCACCAAGGCGACGAUCCGUAGCUGGUCUGAGAGGAUGAUCAGCCACACUGGGACUGAGACACGGUCCAGACUCCUACGGGGGGCAGCAGUGGGGAAUUUUGGACAAUGGGCGGAAGCCUGAUCCAGCCAUACCGCGUGGGUGAAGAAGGCCUUCGGGUUGUAAAGCCCUUUUGUUGGGAAAGAAAAGCAGCAGGGUAAUACCCCGCUGUUCUGACGGUACCCAAAGAAUAAGCACCGGCUAACUUCGUG
rnacentral:rRNA from 1 species